GACGAACCGUGCGAACGUUGUUCGGAUUCACUGGGCUUAAAGGGCGCGUAGGCGGCUUGCCAAGUCAGGGGUGAAAUCUUUCGGCUCAACCGGAAAAGUGCUUCUGAUACUGGCGGGCUGGAGGGAGGUAGGGGCGACUGGAACUUCCGGUGGAGCGGUGAAAUGCGUAGAUAUCGGAAGGAACGCCGGUGGCGAAAGCGAGUCGCUGGACCUCUUCUGACGCUGAGGCGCGAAAGCCAGGGGAGCAAACGGG
rnacentral:rRNA from 1 species